rnacentral:rRNA from 1 species
GUGUCAGCCGCCGCGGUAAGACGGAGGGUCCUAGCGUUGUUCGGAAUUACUGGGCGUAAAGGGUGCGUAGGCGGCCAUUUAAGUCGGGUGUGAAAGCCCGGGGCUCAACCCCGGAACGGCAUCCGAGACUGGGUGGCUUGAGACCGGGAGAGGAGGGUGGAAUACCCAGUGUAGAGGUGAAAUUCGUAGAUAUUGGGUGGAACACCGGUGGCGAAAGCGGCUCUCUGGCCCGGUUCUGACGCUGAGGCACGAAAGCGUGGGGAGCAAACAGGAUUAGAAACCCCCGUAGUCC